CUAAAAAUAACCAAUAGAUACGUAGUUUUCUACCACGAACUACAAAGCUCUAAUUUUCUCAUUGCACUAUGAGAAUAUGUAGGCACAAGUGUUUGAAACCUUGGCGAGCGUAUUAAUUAAUAAAUUAUUUUCCCCUUAAUUAAAACCAAUCGCAAGUAACCUUUAGAUAAUAACACUCAUCUGUGCAAAGAACAAUCAAAAUAGUUUCCAUUGAGUAUAAUGGAUGUGAGGGGUGCUAAUAUCUUCC
rnacentral:lncRNA from 1 species